ACAGCUGUGUCAGACUUUGCUACC
rnacentral:miRNA from 1 species